rnacentral:rRNA from 1 species
UACGUAGGGUCCGAGCGUUGUCCGGAAUUAUUGGGCGUAAAGGGCGCGUAGGCGGCUUUGCAAGUGGCGGGUGAAAUCCCUCGGCUUAACCGAGGAACUGCCUGUCAAACUGCAUGGCUUGAGACCAGGAGAGGUGAGUGGAAUUCCCAGUGUAGCGGUGAAAUGCGUAGAUAUUGGGAGGAACACCAGUGGCGAAGGCGGCUCACUGGACUGAUACUGACGCUGAUGCGCGAAAGCGUGGGGAGCAAACAGG